rnacentral:rRNA from 1 species
GAUGAACGCUGGCGGCGUGCCUCAAACAUGCAAGUCGAGCGGGGCUAUGUAAUAUCGCAAGGUAGAACAUAGCCUAGCGGCGAACGGGUGAGUAACACGUGGGUAACCUGCCUGGAAGACAGGGAUAACGAUUCGAAAGGGUCGCUAAUACCUGAUAAUAUCCUUUCAUCGCAUGGUGAUAGGAAGAAAGGGGAAACCCGCUUUCAGAUGGGCCCGCGUCCCAUCAGCUAGUUGGUAAGGUAAAGGCUUACCAAGGCGACGACGGGUAGCCGGUCUGAGAGGAUGUACGGCCACACUGGGACUGAGAUACGGCCCAGACUCCUACGGGAGGCAGCAGUUGGGAAUCUUAGGCAAUGGACGAAAGUCUGACCUAGCGACGCCGCGUGAGGGAAGAAGGGCCUUCGGUUGUAAACCUCUGUCAUGGGGAGAAGUAAGUGACGGUACCCCAAGAGGAAGCCCUGCUAACUACGUG